AGCUUCUGUUCUCUCCGACGAAACCCGAGCGUUUCCGAUCUUCUCCGAUCUCGUGCACUCGUCUCUCUGCUGCUGCUGCUGCCAAUUUAUCGCGUGUGCUCGCAUCUUCAGAGUCCAUCCCUGAUAGUAUUUCCAUCAUGACGGACAUACUGGUGUUGAUGUUCUUCGCCAUCAUGGGCCUGGUCUUCCUCUCCUACAUCAUCUACAUGCUGUGAUGACGAUGAGGAGGGGUCCUGUUCAGCCGCGCGGACGGCCGGUGCUGCGUGUUGUUCCUUUCCUGUAUCCCUGAUCUCCGAUACGGACAAUGGGACCUGAGCUGGGCUCGGACCAUGAUGGUUUCCCUUUGGAGCUCUCAGGCAGGAUGGGAAGAGCAACCCAGUGGAGAGGAGAACAAAUGGAGAAGAAGCCAAAACACCUGUCCCCCACUUGCACUGUUUUAAUCCUCCAACACCCACCCUACCUCCUGCUCCAUCGGACUACGGUCCUCUGACACAUUCUCACCCCGAGAGCUCCCACCAGCUCGUACAAUCAGUUUAAUCAGUGUUUUUUUCUCUCUGCUGUUCAAGGUUACGCAUGCACAUGUUCCCCCUGUCAAGGAGAAGGAGUCUUACCUCUGUGGAAGUCCAGUUAAUUUCAAUCAUACUGAUGCAGGGCAGUUUUUUCAGGUCCAGUGUAUUUAAGGUGUCGGUCAGGAUUUGCCUUUUGAGAAGCACUGUGAGAGGCUCGUUCUUUAAUGUGUUUUAGAAUAUAACCUUAACACUUCUGUUGCCAACUUAUCUGUAAACUCAUGUUUGUGGUGGAGAGCUUCAGCCUUGUGUUAAUGUUACUUUAAUCAUGUGUUGCCAACAUGUUUUUCUUCUCACUUUGAUCUGGAUUUCCCAUCAGGUUAAAGCGAAACGUGUCGGAUCAAUAUUAUCAGUAUUAUAUCAUUUGACUGUUGGUCUGUUUAUUUUUUCAUGACUUACAUGAAGAGGAAUGGUGUUAUAUCAGAGAUACUUUGACUGGAUAUGUUAGCUUUACCACUAAACCUCAUAUAGAUGAUGUGUUAUAUUUAAAUAAAGGUACGCUUAUUGAUGCAUGGAUGAUUUACUGAAGUUAUGACAUUAUUUAUAUGAUAUGUCAAAUAAAGAUGAUUUCAAUAAAUCCAGUUUCCUCUC